UUCCAGUCUCUGUUCUUGGUCAUGGAUGACUUUGUUCGUGACACACUAGCCAAGGCUGGUCUGAGUGACUUGAUUAAAGUAUUUAAAGAUGAAGGGAUUGAUACAGAAACUUUUUAUAUGCUUCAGGAUGCAGACAUCGAAAAGUUGAUUCCAAAAAUGGGAUCAAGGUUAAAAUUCAAAAAGUUAAUCAGACGGUUAAAGGCAGAACAAACCCCAAAU